CAACAGGGAUUGCCCCAGUAACGGCGAGUGAAGCGGCAACAGCUCAAAUUUGAAAUCUGGCUCUCGGGCCCGAGUUGUAAUUUGUAGAGGAUGCUUUUGGUGAGGUGCCUUCCGAGUUCCCUGGAACGGGACGCCAUAGAGGGUGAGAGCCCCGUCUGGUUGGACGCCGAUCCUCUGUAAAGCUCCUUCGACGAGUCGAGUAGUUUGGGAAUGCUGCUCUAAAUGGGAGGUAUAUGUCUUCUAAAGCUAAAUACCGGCCAGAGACCGAUAGCGCACAAGUAGAGUGAUCGAAAGAUGAAAAGAACUUUGAAAAGAGAGUUAAAAAGUACGUGAAAUUGUUGAAAGGGAAGCGCUUGUGACCAGACUUGGGCUUGGUUGAUCAUCCGGGGUUCUCCCCGGUGCACUCUUCCGGCUCAGGCCAGCAUCAGUUCGCCUCGGGGGAUAAAGGCUUCGGGAAUGUGGCUCUCUCCGGGGAGUGUUAU
rnacentral:rRNA from 2 species